ACCUGACUGACUCCUGUCCCGAAGUGGUCAUGGUGGAGAGCAACUUUGGCAGGUGCCACCAGUUUCUCCUGCAGGCCUCCAUCUACCUGAGGAGCCCCCACAAGAACCUGAAGCGAACGGCCAUGAAGUUCAUUGGGGGCAUUCUGCAGGACUACUUCACC